GUUCUUCCCACCACUCUCACUCUGUACCCCUUUUUUUUUGUUCGGUUCAUCUCUAUCUCUCGGGUAUCCCUCUCCUCCCUCUCCCUUCCCUCCUCCUACUUUAGUCAACAAAGGUCAGUAGCAUAAUUUUAGGGUUACUGAUUUGGGUAUUAAUGUCCUCCCUCCCUCCUCAGAUCUCUUCCUCUCCUCAAACCCUCAUCUCCUAUAAUUUCACGAGUUCAUUUAUCUCCUAUAAUUCACGAGUUUCAUCCCCAAAUAGUUGGAAGGCUUUCAACUUUAAUCGCCAAAUUUGCGAAGUGUCUGUAGCCUUCUUUCUUCUCUCUUCCCAUCACCUCCCUCUCUUGUAUGCACCACUUUCUAGAUCUCUCUCCAUGAACACUUACCCUUCUCUUCGUUUUCUUGUUCGUCCGUUUCUUUCAUAUCCUUUGUCUCCAAACGAGAUCUGGAACUUGUCUUAUUGAAAAUUUUCCCAAAUGAUCACAACUUGCAUAAGCCUCUCUUCAUUACAAACCCUAGAUCUGUGACUUUCUCUUCUCUUCCAAAAUUCUAAACACAAAUAGAAGAACGAACCACUGAGUUAUGAAAUCUUUCUUGAUCUGGUUCAGGCCACAUCACCAUAAUCGAAUUCUUACUUCUGCCACUACAAACUUAGGAUUUGGUUAGUUGAUCAUGGGGAACUACAACACAUCAGGUUUGAGAGAUGUGCCAAUUUGAAGUUCAUGAAAAGUUCCACCAUCUGCAUACUUAAACUAUGAAGCAGGAAAGUUUUUGAAGAGUAAAGGCAUAGGGGUUUUUGGCAAGAUGUAAAAGAUACAAACAUUUAUGUUGAAGUAUGGAGAUAUUACUUGCUAACUAGUAGGCCUGAGAAAGAUGAAGAAGUGGAGUCCUUAAGGAAGAAGUUUGUUGGAGUCAAGCCGACAGGAAGGAGAGGGAAGAAGCUGAAGCAGUGAAGGUGGCUGCACAACUCAAGAAAAUGAAAGUUUCAGGUUAGAAUUUCCUUACGUUGGCUGGUCCACAAUUUGAAUGUUCUUAUGUUUGUAGUUCAUGUUGCAUAGUGUCUUGACCAGUGCAUAAGGAUGGGGGAAUGUGUUAUUAGGAUGUGAGCAAAUGGCAGGCAUUCAAAUUGGCAACACUUACUGGUUUUGCUGAGCCUUUGGGUGUCAUAAUUGUAGCUUAUCUAUUCUCAAGCAGCUUGAGUCUUGAAAUUCUUAAGGCUUGCUAGGAGCAGGUUUGCCAACACACGAGCAGAUGGAUGAAGUCAGGCAUGAGUGAGCAAGUUUUGUGACCAUUAUGUACAGCGAUAAAGUUAUGGAACAAGAUAAACACAAUUUUUUUUUAAUUGUGAAAAUUGGUGUAGUGUAUAUGCAUUGAAUUCUAAUUGUAAAUUGAUAUUGUGGUACAAAUUAUUAGUGUGAAUUUCCAUUAAUUUUCA